CAGCCGCCACGGUAAUACGUAGGUGGCAAGCGUCGUCCGGAAUUAUUGGGCGUAAAGGGCUCGCAGGCGGUUUCUUAAGUCUGAUGUGAAAGCCCCCGGCUCAACCGGGGAGGGUCACUGGAAACUGGGUAACUUGAGUGCAGAAGAGGAGAGUGGAAUUCCACGUGUAGCGGUGAAAUGCGUAGAGAUGUGGAGGAACACCAGUGGCGAAGGCGACUCUCUGGUCUGUAACUGACGCUGAGGAGCGAAAGCGUGGGGAGCAAACAGGAUUAGAUACCCCAGUAGUCCCUGUCUCUUAUAC
rnacentral:rRNA from 1 species